GUCCUUCCCAGUUGUUGUAUUUCAAGCUCAUUCUUUCCUAUUUGUAUUUCGCCUCUGAUGCUCACGACUUUUCUUUCACAUUCUUCAUAACUCCCCGCCUUGCCAUAGUUUAUCGUCUAUGGGUUUUCUGUAAUCGAGAAGUUGAUUGUCUUUCUUCUGUGUAAUUACUGACUUCUGAGUCUGAUGAUUCACAGAUGGACGAGAAAAAGGAGCGGAGGAGAUUUGCUGACGGUGAAAAAGAGUCAAAGACGAUGGAGCAAGCUUGGGUGGUAGGGCAAGGAGGGACCGGAAGCGGUUUGAGGAUCGAGUGAAGGAAGAAGAUAAUGGUGGAAAUGUUGAUGAGAAGCAUGCGAAAGUGAUUGAAUACAAGUCCAAAGGAGACGUGGGGGAUGGAAAAGUUCAGUUUGGAGGCACCACUGAUGAAAAAAGGUCACUGGGGAAUGUGUUGGUUGAGGAUAAAAAGAGGAUUUCUCAGCAAAUUUGAUUUGAAUGUAAAGGAAAAUGAGAAGGCUUUGGUUGAACGUGGACAGUGCGAUGUUCCAAACUUGGUUCAUAAUAAACAGCCCAUUUUCGGAAUGACACCACCAAUUCCUUCUUUAUCUUUCGGAAAAGAAGAUGAAUAUUUUGUGGAGGAAGAUGGGUGGACUCAGAUUUUGUCCCAACUUCAAAUUAGUUCAAAGGAACAACCCUGCUCUUCUCUUUUCUUCAUUCUCUACCACUCGGGCUUCUUACAACACUCUCGUCUCUGAGAAUGAUUGAAGUUAUAUGGGGUUGAAAGCUGAGCAAUUGUGUAGAUAGCCAGACGAUCAUUGAAGGUUGAAGAUUGAAGAUUGAGAAGACGUUUAGAAUUUUUCUUAUUUACGUCUUGUAUUAGGAUCUUUUUUCAUAUACUGUUGUAGAAUGUAUAU